GCGCUCCACCCGCCCGGACCUUCCCAGGCCCCUCCUCUAGACCCGCCUCUUCCCGAGAUGGGACCCCCUCCCAACACUCCCCAGGGGGCUCUCUCUACACCCCAGGAGUCCCUUUUGUGAUUCCCCAGUGCAAGUUCACCCAAGUGGUGACUUUUUCCAGACUCCCUUCCUCGCCUGGAAGAGCCCUUCUUUGACUACCCGCCCCCUGUCCGGUGGCUCCGACGUGGCUACUUUGCAGGAUGGGCUAUAUAAAGGGCUGGAGGCAGUUCAACCCAACCAGAGACGUGGCGUCUGUUAGGCCUGCCUAAGCUCCAGUACCUGACUAAAGCCCAGAGAAUGGAGACGACGGGAGGAGCUGAAGAGAGCGAGGCUGGAUACAUAAGGAAGACACAGCUGUGGACCACAGUCGGCUUUCCUGGGAAGGCUUCCUAACUGUGGGCUAUAAGAUGUAACAAGACUAUUGUUUGAUUAUUAAAAAAAAAAAAAAGAAAGAAAGAAAGAAGGGAAAAGAAACAGUGGUGGCCUCUUUGUAUUAUGUUCUCCUGCAGAUGAGCCAGGCAUAUGUUAAAAUAACUAUUCCGUAGUUUAUUUACCCCUCUGGUUCCCACAAUUGUCUGGCCCUGCCCAUUUCACGGAGGCUAAACACUGGCACAGAGAAGUUUGAUGUCUCUGUAGCAUUGCUCUGUGCUGCUACGUACUCUGUAGCACUCUGUAACCCUCUGUAGCACUCUGUAGGACUCUGUAACACUCUGUAGCACUCUGUAGCACUCUGUAGGACUCUGUAGCACUCUGUAGUACUCUGUAACACUCUAUAGCAUUCUGUAGCACUCUGUAGCACUCUGUAGAACUCUGCAGCACUCUGUAACACUCUGUAGGACUCUGUAGCACUCUGUAGGACUCUGUAGCACUCUGUAGCACUCUGUAGGACUCUGUAGCACUCUGUAGCACUCUGUAGUACUCUGUAGCACUCUGUAGCACUCUGUAGGACUCUGUAGCACUCUGCAGCACUCUGUAACACUCUGUAGCACUCUGUAGUACUCUGUAGGACUCUGUAGCACUCUCUAGGACUCUGUAGCACUCUGCAGCACUCUAACACUCUGUAGCACUCUGCAGCACUCUGUAGUACUCUGUAGCACUCUGUAGCACUCUGUAGGACUCUGUAGGACUCUAGCACUCUGUAGUACUCUGUAGCACUCUGUAGUACUCUGUAGCACUCUGUAGUACUCUGUAGCACUCUAGCACUCUUUAGCACUCUGUAGCACCCUGUAGUACUCUGUAGCAUUCUAUAGCACUCUGUAGUACUCUUUAGCACUCUGUAGCACUCUGUAGUACUCUGUAGCACUCUGUAGGACUCUGUAGGACUCUGUAGGACUCUGUAGCACUCUAUAGUACUCUGUAGCACUCUGUAGCACUCUGUAGUACUCAAAAGAGCCUCAGUUGCCCCAUGAUAGCUAUCAUGGAUGUUGUCACUGAGGAAGGCUUUUAAAGUAGAAAGGUUGCAGGUUGCCUGAACUUUCAGUGCCUCCUGUGGUCUCUCGGGAUCCACCAAAGCCGCUUUAGGGUUGUUCCUUUGCCCCAAGAAAGCUCUCUGGCCCUCAGUGGCCUUCCCUGAGUGGUGUUAAGGAGACUAGAUUAGUUUUAGAAGAACAUUGUAGGAGCUUAGAACCUGUCAUCACACACACAAGAAGGAGCAUAAUUGGAUAUGAUGCAAGGUGCAGGUUCUCUGUCCUUAAGGUAAAGUCCCAGGCUUCUGAGACGUGUGAGAGAGCUGACAGCAUGGGUCUCUCCACAGACUAAUGUCUUAUCUGGGGUCUGGCUUGGCUUCUCACAUUGUAAUGUGACAAUGGACUCUGUCCCCGGUUGUUCCUGAUGGUUGACACAGAGUGAUCUGCCCUCAUCCACCCCAAGUCAGUUCUGCUUAUCUAUGAUCUCUCAAAUUCCACCCACACUAAGAGUGGUGUUCUUUCCCCUCAUGGCCACAUUCAAAGAAGGAGCCCUGUUAAGUGUGCAGGCCACAGCAGUAAGUAGCUUUAGGAUAGACCCAGACACACACUCGGGAAGAUGAGCCUGCCAAUCUGAAUUGGGUGGGUUUCCCUUUCAAUAGUUUACUUCUUCCUUGACAUAGCUGAUGAUUCUUAAAGCUUCCAGUGGGACAUCGCCUUUUACUUAAGCUGCAUUUCCAGAAAUCAGAGCAUUCUAGAAAUCUACAAGCAUUUUGGUUCACCAUGUAUGUGUGUGUGUGUGUGUGUGUGUGUGUGUGUGUGUGUGUGUGUGUGUGUGUGGUUAGAUUUCUAGAUAGUUUUUUGGCAACCCAAUUUCCUUAAGAUGAAACUGGUGCCCUCAAAACAGUUCAAGUUGUCUUUUAGAAAUAUGGAACAGGAAGAAGAAAAAUGCUAAGUUUAAAAGACUCUUGGAAUAUCUUCAGGAAAGGCAGAUGGUUUCUGGCAUGAAGAUAAAGUAUCCUUACGGUUUCCUUGGAGUUAUUUUCUGACAUUGAGACUCAUAUAUGUCUUGAGUGUUUAUAAGCAAAGAGUAACUGUAUUAUUUAAAAAGAAAAGGUAUUCUGUACUUCUUCAGUAAUGUCUUCUACCUUCCUCUAUCUUUGAGAAAUGGAGCUUUGAGGUGACAUGAAUACUUUGAGAAACACCUCUAAGAACUGUAUUUAGCUUUUGAAGCACAAUUUUUCUGCCUUUAGUUUAUUUCAAUAUUUACCAACUAAAUUUAGCAUAAUGACAUUGAACUCAAUAAAAGGGGCAUUUGUAGACUCAAGCCUAAGAGGCCAUGUCUCCUCAAGCAAAUGCGAGGAACAAAGCCUGUUGUGGUCUUUCUGCCCCUCUCUCUGCACUCACCUCAGCAUGCCAGUUUCUCUCAGUCCAAAUGCCAGCACCUCCUCUCAUGCUGACAGCAGUGAUCGCUUCUCAAACAGCAUCCCUCCCACAGCAAGCAUCUUCAAUGACACAGACCUGAUUUUAUUUGAAUUGCAAAACGGCUGGCUUUAAAACAAACAACCAAGCAGACUUUCUUGUAGUCGGAUGAAGCCGCGCUGUUCAGUUAGGAACAGCAAGGUGAACACUGGGUGAGGGACAGUGGCCUACAGAUGGGAUGGGGUUAGCUUUCCUCUCCUGCCUGAUUCUACUUGAAACUCCAUGUGACAGCUGAAUUACGGGCACAAUCCUGCUCCAUAAUGGGAUCUAAGCCAGGAGCCAAUGAUGACAGUAAAAAGGACAUUUAGACAAAACCUGGCAACAUCAGGAGCUCUGUGUUCUUAACCUUGAGAAGAGAUGGGAGUGUUAGUAAAGUUAACCUGCGGGUGUGCCUGUAAGGGGACUUCCAGAGAAGGUGAACUAAAUAGGACAGACUCACUAUACUGACCAGCCUUUACGGUCACAAUCAGACAUUCAUUGUGAGGAGCCUGACACAAUCAGAGUUGGCCUGGGAAGAUGAAACGUCAGCUGAGAAACUUCCUCCCUCAGAUGGGCCUGUGGCAUAUCAGUGAGGCAUUUCCUUGAUUGGCGGUUAAGAUGGACUGUCCCAGCCGACUGUGGUCCUGGACUAUGUGCAAAAGGUCCCUGAGAAGAAGCCAGAGAGCCAGCAAGGCGGUAAGCAUCACUCCUCUGUGGUUGCUGCUUGAGUUCCUACCUCUGGGCCCAUACCUCGAGUGCCUGCUCUCGCUUCACUCAGUGAUGAACUAGAAAUGUGAGGUGAAAUAAACCCUUUCUUCCCCAA